GGCCCGCUGGCCUAAUGGUAAGGCGUCAGAUUUCGGUUCACCGAAUCAUCCCUCUGAAGAUUGUGCGUUCGAGCCGCACGUGGGUCG
rnacentral:tRNA from 1 species